CCUACGGGAGGCUGCAGUGGGGAAUUUUGGGCAAUGGGCGCAAGCCUGAUCCAGCUACGCCGCGUGUGGGAAGACGGCUUUCGGGUUGUAAACUUCUUUUCUGAGGGACGAAAAAUGUGACGGUACCUCAGGUAUAAGCCACGGCUAACUACGUGCCAGCCGCCGCGGUAAUACGUAGGGGGCAAGCGUUAUCCGGAUUUAGUGGGGGUAAAGGGCGUGUAGGCGGGAAUGCAAGACAGAUGUGAAAGCUCAGGGCUUAACCUGGGGCAUGCAUAGGAAACUGUUUUACUAGAGUGCUGGAGAGGGAAGUGGAAUUCCGUGUGUAGCGGUGAAAUGCGUAGAUAUACGGAGGAACACCAGUGGCGAAGGCGGAUUGCUGGACAGUAACUGACGCUGAGGCGCGAAAGCGUGGGGAGCAAACAGGAUUAGAUACCCGAGUAGUC
rnacentral:rRNA from 1 species